ensembl:snRNA U6 U6 spliceosomal RNA
GUGAUCACUUCGGGAUCACAUAUACUAAAAUUGGAACAAUAGAAAAAGGAUUAGCGUGGUUCCUGUGCAAGGAUAACAUGCAAAUUCGUGAAGCAUUCCAUAUUGAA